CUGCUCUGCUGUAGUUUUGUAAGUGAGCCCAGGAUAGGGUUUCCAUGGAGAUAAUUAGGCAGCAUUACUUUUGGAGCAGCCUUCAUAUAUGCAGCCCUAGACAAUUCCUUUUCACACAGUGUGGCCCAGGAAAGGGUGACAUGAAGAUUGAGGAACUACAGGCCAAUGAGCCUCACACCUGUGCCUGGGAAGAUGAUGGAGCAGAUCCUCGUAGAAGCUAUGUUAUGGCACAUGAAGAAUGAGGUGAUCUGAGACCUGGCAUGGCUGCACACAGGGCAGAUUGUGCCUGACAAAACUGGCAGUCCACUAUGAUGGAGUUGCAAAAGAAAGGUGACAUCAUCUACCUAGGAUUUGACUGGGCCUUUGACAGGAUCCUGCACCACAUCCUUAUCUCUAAGUUAGGCAGAUAAGAGUUUCAAGGACAAAGAGUUGGUAGGAUGGUCACAGUCAGAGUGUUGUGGUCAGUGACUCUAGGUCUGGGUGGCUGGCCACGACUGGUGUCCCCAAGAGUCCAUCUUGGGACUAGUGCUCUUCAGCACCUUUAUCAGUGACACAGACAGUGAAACUGAGUGACCCUCAGCAAGUUUGUACAUAACAUCAAGCUGAGUGAGGGGGCUUGUUCAGCCAGCAGGAGAAAAAAACUCCAGGAAAACACUGCAGCUUUCCAGUACUUAAAGGGAGCUUAUGAACAGGAGAGGGACUGAGGUUUUUGCAUGGAUAAAUAGUGACAGAACAACGGGGAAUGGCUUUUAAAGUGAAAGAGGAGAGAUUUAGAUCAGAUUUUAGGGGAAAAUUUUUCGCUGAGAAGGUGGUAAGGCACUGGACCGGUUGCCCAGAGAAGCUGAAUGCCCGCUGAAGACACUCAGCUGAGUGGGUGCU